rnacentral:misc_RNA from 1 species
GAUGAAGAACGUAGCGAAAUGCGAUACUUGGUGUGAACUGCAGAAUCCCGUGAACCAUCGAGUCUUUGAACGCAAGUUGCGCCCGAAGCCACUAGGCCGAGGGCACGCCUGCCUGGGCGUCACACGCCGUUGCCCCCCCAUCUACUCCUUCGGGAUUGCGGGGGGGCGGAUGAUGGCCUCCUGUGCGCCUAGCCGCGCGGUUGGCAUAAAUACCAAGUCCUCGGCGACGCACGCCACGACAAUCGGUGGUUGCGAAACCUCGGUUGCCCGUCGUGUGCGUUCGUCGCGCAUCGAGGGCUCGAAAAAAUGCUCGGCUCCGGCUGGGCUUUCAACGCGACCCCAGGUCAGGCGGGGUUACCCGCUGAAUUUAAGCAUAUCAAUAAGCGGAGGA